rnacentral:antisense_RNA from 1 species
CACUAUAUUGGUCUGUCAUCAUCCCUUGGCCUCUCACCUGAUGCAGCCAGUCCAGGGACAGAAUGGGGAUUCCCCGCCCCAGGGCACACAGGAACUUGACUGUCCGGCGGAUGCGAUCAGUGACCAGACACCUGAUGCUUCUUUAUAUGUAUAAUGGCUGACCCUGGCGGGACUUCCUUCUCCACUUGUGUGUUGAUGUCCACUGUGGUGGAGGCUUGGCUUCUCUCCAGGUGGAUCCCAGAUGUGCCAAAGUCAGCGCUGCUGAGACUUCUUCCUCGUCAUCUGUAUCGCUGUUGAUAACCAUGGAAGCUUGGCUUUUCUCCAGAGGGACAGCCUGUGGGGCCUUGCCUUCUUCCACAUCUGUAUCACUACCAGCCUGGCUCUCCUGCAGAUGGGCCAGGCCUGGUGCUCCAGGACCCCUUGUACCUACUCCAUGGAAGAUCUUCCUCUUCUUCAUAGGAAUGACAACUGGGGUUGCUGGGAUCCUCUCUUCUUCCGCAUCAGUGUCGCUGUUGAUGAAGCCAAAAGGCUGAGCCCUUUCCAAAUGGACCUCAGCUGGCCUUCCAGGAGGCCUGCUGUCAUCAUCCACAUCUGUGUCGCUGUCCUCUCCAGGAGGUUGGCUCCUCUCCAGAAUCACCCCAGCUGGAACCACCCCAUUCUCUGCACCCCUCUUGACUUUUGUAUCAUCGUCCCUCUCCUUCACUAAAGGCUGAUCCUUUUCAAGCUGGAUUUCAGUUA